rnacentral:rRNA from 1 species
UACAGGGGGGCAAGCGUUGUUCGGAAUUACUGGGCGUAAAGGGCUCGUAGGCGGCCAACUAAGUCAGACGUGAAAUCCCUCGGCUUAACCGGGGAACUGCGUCUGAUACUGGAUGGCUUGAGUUUGGGAGAGGGAUGCGGAAUUCCAGGUGUAGCGGUGAAAUGCGUAGAUAUCUGGAGGAACACCGGUGGCGAAGGCGGCAUCCUGGACCAACACUGACGCUGAGUGAGCGAAAGCCAGGGGAGCAAACGGG